GCCUCUGGGUGUGUUGUUCUGUUUAGACUGGCAGGUCAGUGAGGAUGCCCAACAGGCAGCACGGCUCACAUUGCCUCUGGGUGUGUUGUUCUGUUUAGACUGGCAGGUCAGUGAGGAUGCCCAACAGGCAGCACGGCUCACAUUGCCUCUGGGUGUGUUGUUCUGUUUAGACUGGCAGGUCAGUGAGGAUGCCCAACAGGCAGCACGGCUCACAUUGCCUCUGGGUGUGUUGUUCUGUUUAGACUGGCAGGUCAGUGAGGAUGCCCAACAGGCAGCACGGCUCACAUUGCCUCUGGGUGUGUUGUUCUGUUUAGACUGGCAGGUCAGUGAGGAUGCCCAACAGGCAGCACGGCUCACAUUGCCUCUGGGUGUGUUGUUCUGUUUAGACUGGCAGGUCAGUGAGGAUGCCCAACAGGCAGCACGGCUCACAUUGCCUCUGGGUGUGUUGUUCUGUUUAGACUGGCAGGUCAGUGAGGAUGCCCAACAGGCAGCACGGCUCACAUUGC